rnacentral:rRNA from 1 species
UACGUAGGGUGCGAGCGUUGUCCGGAAUUACUGGGCGUAAAGGGUGCGUAGGCGGGCAUGUGCGUCGGAGGUUAAAUACAACGGCUUAACCGUUGAACUGCCUUCGAAACGGCAUGUCUUGAAUGUGGGAGAGGAUGAUGGAAUUCCUGGUGUAGCGGUGAAAUGCGUAGAUAUCAGGAGGAACACCGGUGGCGAAGGCGGUCAUCUGGCCCACUAUUGACGCUGAGGCACGAAAGCGUGGGGAGCAAACAGG